rnacentral:rRNA from 1 species
UAGCAAUACAUCCGUGGCGAACGGGUGCGUAACACGUGGAUAACCUUCCUUCAGGUGGGGAAUAACCCAGUGAAAAUUGGGCUAAUACCGCAUAACAAGACGAUGGCACAUGCUGUUGUCUUCAAAGGCGCAAGUCGCCAGAAGAGGGAUCCGCGGCCGAUUAGCUUGUUGGCGAGGUAAUGGCUCACCAAGGCAAUGAUCGGUAGCCGGACUGAGAGGUUGGCCGGCCACACUGGAACUGAGACACGGUCCAGACUCCUACGGGAGGCAGCAGUGGGGAAUCUUGCACAAUGGACGAAAGUCUGAUGCAGCAACGCCGCGUGGGGGAUGAAGCUUCUCGGAGUGUAAACCCCUUUCGACCUGGAAGAAUGCCCGCAAGGGUUUGACGGUACAGGUAUAAGAAGCCCCGGCUAACUACGUGCCAGCAGCCGCGGUAAUACGUAGGGGGCCAGCGUUGCUCGGAAUUACUGGGCGUAAAGGGUCCGUAGGCGGUGUGGUAAGUCGGGAGUGAAAUCUCUGGGCUUAACCCAGAGGCUGCUUCCGAAACUGCCGUGCUAGAGUGUGAGAGAGGCGAGUGGAAUUACGGGUGUAGCGGUGAAA